rnacentral:rRNA from 1 species
GUGGGGAAUAUUGGACAAUGGGCGAAAGCCUGAUCCAGCCAUGCCGCGUGUGUGAAGAAGGUCUUCGGAUUGUAAAGCACUUUAAGUUGGGAGGAAGGGCAGUAAGUUAAUACCUUGCUGUUUUGACGUUACCGACAGAAUAAGCACCGGCUAACUUCGUGCCAGCAGCCGCGGUAAUACGAAGGGUGCAAGCGUUAAUCGGAAUUACUGGGCGUAAAGCGCGCGUAGGUGGUUUUGUAAGUUGGAGGUGAAAUCCCCGGGCUCAACCUGGGAACUGCCUCCAAAACUGCAUGACGUGAGUACGGUAGAGGGUAGUGGAAUUUCCUGUGUAGCGGUGAAAUGCGUAGAUAUAGGAAGGAACACCAGUGGCGAAGGCGACUACCUGGACUGAUACUGACACUGAGGUGCGAAAGCGUGGGGAGCAAACAGGAUUAGAUACCCCAGUAGUCC